AUGAUUGUUAGCAGUAUGAAGGAAUAUGAAGAGAGAGCAGUGUCUCUGGCUUUGAAUCAGCCAAAACUGCGGGCGCUUACCAAUAAACUGAAGGCCGUCCGUAUGACUUGCCCUCUGUUUGAUACUACACGCUGGGUUCGAAAUCUGGAGAGGGCAUAUUUCAAAAUGUGGAAUAUCCAUUGUUCGGGGCAGAAGCCCCAGCACUUUAAAGUGACGGAGAAGGACUCGAAGUUCCCUUGUGAUAGAUGAGAGAGGAGUGAAUAAACAGCAUUGUCGAUAAAAGCAAGAGAACAAGAUGGUGUAUUUAGGAUGAUAUUGGUUAAGAUUGAAAUGGUCGUAGAGAGGUAUGUUUGCGGAUUUGACGAAAUUGAGUUUUUACCUCUCUGUUGAGGCAAAUCAGUUGAGCGAAUAAAGUGACAAAAUUCCCUCUAUGUAUAACAUUCCUUUCUGGUGCUUCUGAUUCAGUUCAAUCUAUAUUAUAGGUUGAGAUUCUUUGAAAAUAUGCAC
rnacentral:misc_RNA from 1 species